GGUUGUGACGGUAAUCUGGCUGCGACAUCUGCCACCCCAUUGAUCGCCAGGGUUGAUUCAGCUGAUCUGGCUGGCUAGGCGGGUGUCCCCUUCCUCCCUCACCGCUCCAAGUGUGUCCCUCCCGAAGCUGCACACAAGGUCAAAAAGGACGACCAUCCCUGAUAGAGAAGGGCGGGUCUUUGCUCAAGGGUAUAGGAGUAGCUGCACUCCCCUGCAAGAAACUCCAAACAAACUCUCCAGAAAUGAAUCUCUUAACAAAUCCAGUGGCACGUUUUUCAUCCAAUUAAUUCAGGUAUAGCAGGUCCUUGAAUAAAGCUGUUUCCUUGAACGGUAUUUUGUUACAA
rnacentral:snRNA from 1 species